UACGUAGGGUGCGAGCGUUGUCCGGAAUUAUUGGGCGUAAAGAGCUUGUAGGCGGUUUGUCGCGUCUGCUGUGAAAAUCCGGGGCUCAACCCCGGACUUGCAGUGGGUACGGGCAGACUAGAGUGUGGUAGGGGAGACUGGAAUUCCUGGUGUAGCGGUGAAAUGCGCAGAUAUCAGGAGGAACACCGAUGGCGAAGGCAGGUCUCUGGGCCACUACUGGCGCUGAGAAGCGAAAGCAUGGGGAGCGAACAGG
rnacentral:rRNA from 1 species